UACGGGGGGGGCAAGCGUUGUUCGGAAUUACUGGGCGUAAAGGGUGCGUAGGCGGGUCUUUAAGUCAGGGGUGAAAUCCUGGAGCUCAACUCCAGAACUGCCUUUGAUACUGAGGAUCUUGAGUCCGGGAGAGGUGAGUGGAACUGCGAGUGUAGAGGUGAAAUUCGUAGAUAUUCGCAAGAACACCAGUGGCGAAGGCGGCUCACUGGCCCGAUACUGACGCUGAGGUGCGAAAGCGUGGGGAGCAAACAGG
rnacentral:rRNA from 1 species